rnacentral:rRNA from 1 species
AGAGUUUGAUCCUGGCUCAGAACGUACGCUGGCGGCACGCCUAACACAUGCAAGUCGAACGAAGUAGCAAUACUUAGUGGCAGACGGGUGAGUAACAUGUGGGUAUCUACCCUUUGGCCUGGAAUAACACGAGGAAACUUGUGCUAAUACCGGAUAAGUCUUUACGGAGAAAGCUUUAUGCACCAUUGGAUGAGCCCGCACUUGAUUAGUUUGUUGGUAGGGUAAUGGCCUACCAAGACUAUGAUCAAUAGCUGAUUUGAGAGGAUGAUCAGCCACAUUGGGACUGAGACACGGCCCAAACUCCUACGGGAGGCAGCAGUGGGGAAUCUUGCACAAUGGAGGAAACUCUGAUGCAGCGAUGCCGCGUGAGUGAAGAAGGCCUUUGGGUUGUAAAGCUCUUUCGUCGGGGAAGAAAAUGACUGUACCCGAAUAAGAAGGUCCGGCUAACUUCGUGCCAGCAGCCGCGGUAAUACGAAGGGACCUAGCGUAGUUCGGAAUUACUGGGCUUAAAGAGUUCGUAGGUGGUUGAAAAAGUUGGUGGUGAAAUCCCAGAGCUUAACUCUGGAACUGCCAUCAAAACUUUUCAGCUAGAGUAUGAUAGAGGAAAGCAGAAUUUCUAGUGUAGAGGUGAAAUUCGUAGAUAUUAGAAAGAAUACCAAUUGCGAAGGCAGCUUUCUGGAUCAUUACUGACACUGAGGAACGAGAGCAUGGGUAGCGAAGAGGAUUAGAUACCCUCGUAGUCCAUGCCGUAAACGAUGUGUGUUAGACGUUGGAAAUUUAUUUUCAGUGUCGCAGGAAAACCGA